rnacentral:rRNA from 1 species
AGUGAACGCUGGCGGUAGGCCUAACACAUGCAAGUCGAACGGCAGCACAGUAAGAGCUUGCUCUUACGGGUGGCGAGUGGCGGACGGGUGAGGAAUACAUCGGAAUCUACUUUUUCGUGGGGGAUAACGUAGGGAAACUUACGCUAAUACCGCAUACGACCUACGGGUGAAAGCAGGGGAUCUUCGGACCUUGCGCGAUUGAAUGAGCCGAUGUCGGAUUAGCUAGUUGGCGGGGUAAAGGCCCACCAAGGCGACGAUCCGUAGCUGGUCUGAGAGGAUGAUCGGCCACACUGGAACUGAGAUACGGUCCAGACUCCUACGGGAGGCAGCAGUGGGGAAUAUUGGACAAUGGGCGCAAGCCUGAUCCAGCCAUACCGCGUGGGUGAAGAAGGCCUUCGGGUUGUAAAGCCCUUUUGUUGGGAAAGAAAAGCAGCAGGUUAAUACCCCGCUGUUCUGACGGUACCCAAAGAAUAAGCACCGGCUAACUUCGUG